rnacentral:lncRNA from 1 species
AGAAACCGAAAAAGGAAAUGAAUAUUGAAAAAGGAAAAAGAAACCGAAUUAGGAAAUGAAAAUCGAAUAAGGAAAUGGAAAUCGAAUAAGGAAACGAAAAUCCAAUUAGGAAAUAGAAACUGAAUAAGGAAAUAGAAACCAAAAAAGGAAAUGAAUAUUGAAAAAGGAAAAAGAAACCGAAUAAGGAAAUGAAAAUCGAAUAAGGAAAUGGAAAUCGAAUAAGGAAAUGAAAAUCCAAUAAGGAAAUAGAAACUGAAUAAGGAAAUAGAAACCGAAUAAGGAAAUGAAUAUUGAAAAAAUAAAAAAGAAACCGAAUAAGGAAAUGAAAAUUGAAUAAGGAAAUGAAAAUCGAAUAAGGAAAUGAAAAUCCAAUAAGGAAAUAGAAACCGAAUAAGGAAAUAGACACCGAAAAAGGAAAUGAAUAUUGAAAAAGGAAAAAGAAACCGAAUAAGGAAAAGAAAAUCGAAUAAGGAAAUGAAAAUCGAAUAAGGAAAUGGAAAUCGAAUAAGGAUGAUAAUCGAAAAAGGAAAAAGAAAACGAAUAAGGAAAUGAAAAAAAAUUUGAAGAAAAACUUUUUGAGGAAAAAUAUUUUGAGGAAAAAAAAAUUUGAGGAAAAAAAAUUUAGAGCAAAAAAAAAUUGAGGAAAAAAAAAUUUUGAGGAAAAAAAAUU